GUACUGCUGAAGAGUUCAAAACUAGGACGAAACAGCCGUCCAGUAC
rfam:Trichobilharzia regenti genome assembly, scaffold: TRE_scaffold0020009